UGCCAGCCGCCGCGGUAAUACGAAGGGUGCUAGCGUUGUUCGGAAUUACUGGGCGUAAAGAGCAUGUAGGCGGAUGAAUUAGUCAGAGGUGAAAGCCCCGAGCUCAACUUGGGAACUGCCUUCAAUACUUCCAGUCUAGAAUCUGUAAGGGGGUGGUGGAGUUCCGAGUGUAGAGGUGAAAUUCUUAGAUAUUCGGAGGAACACCAGUGGCGAAGGCGACCACCUGGUACAGUAUUGACGCUGAGAUGCGAAAGCGUGGGGAGCAAACAGGAUUAGAUA
rnacentral:rRNA from 1 species